rnacentral:lncRNA from 1 species
UAUUAGAAUAAAACUAAAUGAAUAAUCAUAUUUUCCAAAAUCAACAAAAGAAGUUCAAGAGAUAAAGAGAGCAGAAAGUUCAAAAAAAUCAGAUCCGAGAUUUAUUUGUUUACUUUAAACUUGUUAUUGUGAUAAUUAGAGAGGAGAAAUGAUUGACUCAAACAUGGAAGAAAACUCAUUAUUUACAAGCUUUGUCUAACUUCUCUAGCUCAAUUGCAUCUUCACAAAACAAUUUACCAAGGUCGAUAGUUGGUAAAGUGGUUGUUGUUGAUACAAGAACAAGGUCUUGAUUUAGUGGAAGAUAUGUGGAACUUUUCUUUGCCAACUUUUACCAAUUAUCGACCUAUUUGUUCACAACCUUCAUGGGUCAAUUUCCAUCCUUACUCUCUCUUAUUUGUUUACUUAAACUUGUUGUUAUUGUGAUAAUUUUGGGGGUAUUUAUUUGUGUCAAUUUACUUUAUAAGUUAGUAGAUUAAUGUUUCUCAUAUUUAAAUGAAUGUUCUUUUUUCAAGUUUGAAGAUAGAGGUAGGAGUUGGUAUGAAUUUCUAUUAUUUAAUCCAAAAUAUUUUUGAAAAAAAUGGAAGGUGGGUUUGACAUAUUGAUGCUUGAUGGAGGUUUGUGAGGAAGAGAGGAGAAAGAAGAUGAAGAUUUGUUUUUGUUCAUUUUUAUUGUAUUUGUUUUUAUUUAGGAAAUUUUAGUUUUUACUGUCAUUUUAAUUCUUGUAUAGGUGUCACUGAAAAUUACCACAUCUUGGUUCAAUGUGUCCAAAUUUGGGGACAGAUCUUAAAAACAAACAGAAAGAUAACGUCAGUGAUCAUUCUGACUAACGGAAGUUUGAUUCAGGGACUUUUAAAUAUUUUUUGUUGUUUCAGGGACUGUUAGGACAACGAGUGACACUUUCAGGGACGAAAGUGACUGUUUACUCGAUUAAAGAUUAUCAAGGGCAAACUCACUAUGAAGAAGAUAAAAUUGAGCAGGUUUUCAUUGACCACUUCCAACACCUCUUUUCCCACCAGGACACUAAAGACAUCCAGGAGGCAGUGAAAGUAGUAUAGAAGGUAAGAUUACACAGGAUAUGCAUCAGCUCUUGAAUGAAAGUUAUACAAAGGAAAAGGUGUAUCUAGCAAUGAAAGACUUAAAACCUCUGGCUGCCCUUGGACCUGAUGGGCUUCCUGCCCAGUUCUACCACAAUUAUUGGGAUAUUAUUGGCAUUGAUAUCCUCCAUAUAGGGCUAAACAUUCUCAACAAUCAAGGAGACCCUAGCUGUAAGACCCGUAAUUUCACAGUUUAUUUUGUGUAAGGAAAAUAAAUAUUGGAUAAAAGUUUUAAGGUUUUUGUUUAAGUCGUUUUGUAAGUAUCGU